rnacentral:rRNA from 1 species
GCAAGGGGAGCGGCAGACGGGAGAGUAACACGUGGGAACGUACCCUUCAGUUCGGAACAACCCAGGGAAACUUGGGCUAAUACCGAAUACGUCCGUAAGGAGAAAGAUUUAUCGCUGAAGGAUCGGCCCGCGUCUGAUUAGCUUGUUGGUGAGGUAACGGCUCACCAAGGCGACGAUCAGUAGCUGGUCUGAGAGGAUGAUCAGCCUCACUGGGACUGAGACACGGCCCAGACUCCUACGGGAGGCAGCAGUGGGGAAUAUUGGACAAUGGACGCAAGCCUGAUCCAGCCAUGCCGCGUGGGUGAUGAAGGCCCUAGGG